rnacentral:rRNA from 1 species
UACGUAGGGUGCGAGCGUUAAUCGGAAUUACUGGGCGUAAAGCGUGCGCGGGCGGUUUUGUAAGCCAGAUGUGAAAGCCCCGGGCUCAACCUGGGAAUGGCAUUUGGGACUGCAAGGCUUGAGUGCGGCAGAGGAGACUGGAAUUCCUGGUGUAGCAGUGAAAUGCGUAGAUAUCAGGAGGAAUACCGAUGGCGAAGGCAGGUCUCUGGGCUGACACUGACGCUCAUGCACGAAAGCGUGGGGAGCAAACAGG